ensembl:snoRNA SNORD97 small nucleolar RNA, C/D box 97
UUGCCCGAUGAUUAUAAAAAGACGCGUUAUUAAGAGGACUUAAUGCUGGAGUUCUUUACAUUUUUCUCUCUUUUCUGUACUUAAUUUUUCUUUCUUUGUCCAGCAUCCUGUGAGUGAAGAUUAUGAGAUAUGAGGGCAA